rnacentral:tRNA from 1 species
GUUUUUAUAGUUAAAAAAAAAUAUUGGUCUUGUAAAUCAAAGUUAAGAACUAAUCUUUAAAAACU